UUUUGAGAUUUUGAUCCUGGCUCAGGACGAACGCUGGCGGCGUGCUUAACACAUGCAAGUCGAACGAUGAAGCCCUUCGGGGUGGAUUAGUGGCGAACGGGUGAGUAACACGUGGGCAAUCUGCCCUUCACUCUGGGACAAGCCCUGGAAACGGGGUCUAAUACCGGAUACCACUCCUGCCUGCAUGGGCGGGGGUUGAAAGCUCCGGCGGUGAAGGAUGAGCCCGCGGCCUAUCAGCUUGUUGGUGGGGUAAUGGCCCACCAAGGCGACGACGGGUAGCCGGCCUGAGAGGGCGACCGGCCACACUGGGACUGAGACACGGCCCAGACUCCUACGGGAGGCAGCAGUGGGGAAUAUUGCACAAUGGGCGAAAGCCUGAUGCAGCGACGCCGCGUGAGGGAUGACGGCCUUCGGGUUGUAAACCUCUUUCAGCAGGGAAGAAGCGAGAGUGACGGUACCUGAAGAAGAAGCGCCUGCUAACUACCUGCCAGCAGCCUGUAAUAA
rnacentral:rRNA from 1 species